rnacentral:snoRNA from 1 species
AAACAAUGAUUGGGGCAUUUUCUCAAUAGCAUUUGAAAAUGCUCCUAAGCUUCAUAGAAUGUUUCAUCUAUGCCUUGUCUGAAAAUGGAUAUUUCAAAUAUGGCAU